rnacentral:rRNA from 1 species
UUAAGCGACUAAGCGUACACGGUGGAUGCCCUGGCAGUCAGAGGCGAUGAAGGACGUGCUAAUCUGCGAUAAGCGUCGGUAAGGUGAUAUGAACCGUUAUAACCGGCGAUUUCCGAAUGGGGAAACCCAGUGUGAUUCGUCACACUAUCAUUAACUGAAUCCAUAGGUUAAUGAGGCGAACCGGGGGAACUGAAACAUCUAAGUACCCCGAGGAAAGAAAUCAACCGAGAUUCCCCAGUAGCGGCGAGCGAACGGGGAGCAGCCAGAGCCUGAAUCAGUGUGUGUGUUAGUGGAAGCGUCUGGAAAGGCGCGCGAUACAGGUGACAGCCCGUACACAAAAAUGCACAUGCUGUGAGCUCGAUGAGUAGGGCGGGACACGUGGUAUCCUGUCUGAAUAUGGGGACCAUCCUCCAAGGCUAAAUACUCGACUGACCGAUAGUGAACCAGUACCGUGAGGAAAGGCGAAAAGAACCCCGGCGAGGGAGUGAAAAGAACCUGAAACCGUGUACGUACAAGCAGUGGGAGCACGCUUAGGCGUGUGACUGCGUACCUUUUGUAUAAUGGGUCAGCGACUUAUAUUCUGUAGCAAGGUUAACCGAAUAGGGGAGCCGAAGGGAAACCGAGUCUUAACUGGGCGUUAAGUUGCAGGGUAUAGACCCGAAACCCGGUGAUCUAGCCAUGGGCAGGUUGAAGGUUGGGUAACACUAACUGGAGGACCGAACCGACUAAUGUUGAAAAAUUAGCGGAUGACUUGUGGCUGGGGGUGAAAGGCCAAUCAAACCGGGAGAUAGCUGGUUCUCCCCGAAAGCUAUUUAGGUAGCGCCUCGUGAAUUCAUCUCCGGGGGUAGAGCACUGUUUCGGCAAGGGGGUCAUCCCGACUUACCAACCCGAUGCAAACUGCGAAUACCGGAGAAUGUUAUCACGGGAGACACACGGCGGGUGCUAACGUCCGUCGUGAAGAGGGAAACAACCCAGACCGCCAGCUAAGGUCCCAAAGUCAUGGUUAAGUGGGAAACGAUGUGGGAAGGCCCAGACAGCCAGGAUGUUGGCUUAGAAGCAGCCAUCAUUUAAAGAAAGCGUAAUAGCUCACUGGUCGAGUCGGCCUGCGCGGAAGAUGUAACGGGGCUAAACCAUGCACCGAAGCUGCGGCAGCGACACUAUGUGUUGUUGGGUAGGGGAGCGUUCUGUAAGCCUGUGAAGGUGUACUGUGAGGUAUGCUGGAGGUAUCAGAAGUGCGAAUGCUGACAUAAGUAACGAUAAAGCGGGUGAAAAGCCCGCUCGCCGGAAGACCAAGGGUUCCUGUCCAACGUUAAUCGGGGCAGGGUGAGUCGACCCCUAAGGCGAGGCCGAAAGGCGUAGUCGAUGGGAAACAGGUUAAUAUUCCUGUACUUGGUGUUACUGCGAAGGGGGGACGGAGAAGGCUAUGUUGGCCGGGCGACGGUUGUCCCGGUUUAAGCGUGUAGGCUGGUUUUCCAGGCAAAUCCGGAAAAUCAAGGCUGAGGCGUGAUGACGAGGCACUACGGUGCUGAAGCAACAAAUGCCCUGCUUCCAGGAAAAGCCUCUAAGCAUCAGGUAACAUCAAAUCGUACCCCAAACCGACACAGGUGGUCAGGUAGAGAAUACCAAGGCGCUUGAGAGAACUCGGGUGAAGGAACUAGGCAAAAUGGUGCCGUAACUUCGGGAGAAGGCACGCUGAUAUGUAGGUGAAGUCCCUCGCGGAUGGAGCUGAAAUCAGUCGAAGAUACCAGCUGGCUGCAACUGUUUAUUAAAAACACAGCACUGUGCAAACACGAAAGUGGACGUAUACGGUGUGACGCCUGCCCGGUGCCGGAAGGUUAAUUGAUGGGGUCAGCGCAAGCGAAGCUCUUGAUCGAAGCCCCGGUAAACGGCGGCCGUAACUAUAACGGUCCUAAGGUAGCGAAAUUCCUUGUCGGGUAAGUUCCGACCUGCACGAAUGGCGUAAUGAUGGCCAGGCUGUCUCCACCCGAGACUCAGUGAAAUUGAACUCGCUGUGAAGAUGCAGUGUACCCGCGGCAAGACGGAAAGACCCGUGAACCUUUACUAUAGCUUGACACUGAACAUUGAGCCUUGAUGUGUAGGAUAGGUGGGAGGCUUUGAAGUGUGGACGCCAGUCUGCAUGGAGCCGACCUUGAAAUACCACCCUUAAUGUUUGAUGUUCUAACGUGGACCCGUAAUCCGGGUUGCGGACAGUGUCUGGUGGGUAGUUUGACUGGGGCGGUCUCCUCUAAAGAGUAACGGAGGAGCACGAAGGUUGGCUAAUCCUGGUCGGACAUCAGGAGGUUAGUGCAAUGGCAUAAGCCAGCUUGACUGCGAGCGUGACGGCGCGAGCAGGUGCGAAAGCAGGUCAUAGUGAUCCGGUGGUUCUGAAUGGAAGGGCCAUCGCUCAACGGAUAAAAGGUACUCCGGGGAUAACAGGCUGAUACCGCCCAAGAGUUCAUAUCGACGGCGGUGUUUGGCACCUCGAUGUCGGCUCAUCACAUCCUGGGGCUGAAGUAGGUCCCAAGGGUAUGGCUGUUCGCCAUUUAAAGUGGUACGCGAGCUGGGUUUAGAACGUCGUGAGACAGUUCGGUCCCUAUCUGCCGUGGGCGCUGGAGAAUUGAGGGGGGCUGCUCCUAGUACGAGAGGACCGGAGUGGACGCAUCACUGGUGUUCGGGUUGUCAUGCCAAUGGCACUGCCCGGUAGCUAAAUGCGGAAGAGAUAAGUGCUGAAAGCAUCUAAGCACGAAACUUGCCCCGAGAUGAGUUCUCCCUGACUCCUUGAGAGUCCUGAAGGAACGUUGAAGACGACGACGUUGAUAGGCCGGGUGUGUAAGCGCAGCGAUGCGUUGAGCUAACCGGUACUAAUGAACCGUGAGGCUUAACCU